rnacentral:lncRNA from 1 species
GUUCCCAAGAUGCUCAAAGCAUUUUUGGGUCCAAAAUGCUGCUUGUGUUGCAUUUAAAAGCUAAAAAUGCCUAAAUUUGUGUUGUUUGCCAGGCCUGGAUCUUGUAGGUGCAGCCAAGACCUUGCCCACAGUAUCCAAGGUGGUUUUGAAAGGAUCUCCACGGGAUGUAGAAGCAGUGAGAACACGUGGAGAGAGAGUCGAUCCCACAGGAGCUGAAACACGGAGCUCUGCUUUUCUUGCUUUUCCCUGGCAUUACCGAAGAAAAAAAGAUCAUUUUUCCCACUCCUACAGAAAAUGCCAAAAGCGAAGUAUUCCUUCAUAAAAUUGCUUCUUUAUUAAAUCCUAUCUGCCUCCCGCCUCCACAUCCGACUGCCCCUGCGGCUGCCGGAGAGAUCCAGGGCAGAGUGAUUAAGCACUGCGGCUGAUAAUUGGGCAAACACAGAUUUCAAUCUCCUCCAGCAAAUCACUCCCCCUUUCUCCAACUCGAAGCAGCACCCUGUGCCCACUCCCUCUUCCACGGAGCUUUACAAGAUGGGAAGCAUAUGGUCCCUGUCGUUUCAGGGUCACAGACUCAGGGGGGAUGAUCCAGUCUAAUCUGUCCUUCUGCUCAGCUCAGGCAGCUCUGUCUCUGCUCCCAAGGACCACAUGUCCCUUGUCCAGGGCUGGAUGUCACUCUGAAGUGUGUGUGAGGUAACUUCAGAGCUCUGGUAUGAGCCACUCUUGAUAAGGAUCCUGGAUCUCUCAUGCCUGGUGCUGUGUGCAUAACAGAUCCUGUCUGCCUGCAGCUGCUGUCCAUUGCCCAGGGAAGCUGUGGCUGGAAGUGUUGUUCCUGCCCUGGAAGUGUUGUCCAGGCUGGACAGGGUUUGGAGCAGCCUGGUCUAGGGUAAAGUGUCCCUGUCCAUGGCAGGGGGGUGGACUGGAGGAUCUUUAGGGCUCCUUCCAACUCAGCCCAUUCUGUGAUUCUCUGACUGUUGCCCUUUCCCUCAGGUGAGUUUCAAGUGAUGAGAUCUGAACCCGGCUCUUUGGAAAGUUGGCUGCAGUCCAGGUGAGCUCUGGGUGCAUUGUCCUGCUGUGAGGAGGUGAAGGAUUGGCAGAACGUGGGGAAAAGAUGGAGCCAAAGCCCUCCCAGACCUAACCAGCAAAAGGGUGGGAGAUGGGAGAGACAAGCUGCAGGAAGGAUUAUCCCAACGGGACAGUAAGAAAAAAACAUUCACCA